rnacentral:lncRNA from 1 species
ACGGACAAAACAAAGAUUCUUUGAGUGAAGUAAUCCAGCGUUGAGCGUAAAAAAUAAACAAAGUUCCCGCUUAUGAUCUCCCGUUCCCGUAUCAUAACACCGCUAAAAAUAAACAAAUCGUGACAAAUUGCUGUAAGUGCAGCCGACGCUAUCUGCCCCCCGAGAAGACAAUGGCAUCCACCUAUCGGUUUCCGCGCCCUCUCCACCUGCAAAUCGGAUCGGAGUGUGACUGAGUCACAUCAUUUCCAUGAGCCGCAACCUCUCGACGACCUACAUCCCAGUUGGCACCGCAAGUUACACAUUCAACGCCGGGCACCAAAGUUAGCACUUCCAAAGUCAGUCGUGUGCUUAUAUGUUCGUAUUGUUUUCGAAUUGGAUCUAUGUCAGGGAAUGCAAUUAGAACAGCACCGGAGCAGCGGUGAGCGUUUGAUUAGCGAAUUAUGGCAAGUCGACGGGCGGUUAAUAGGCGAUAAGAUUACUGGGGAGUGUAAAUAACUUGGGUUUCGAAUUUUCUGAUUCGCCAGUGGCCAGUGGUCGUCCAUUUCAAUUAUGAUGUCACUGUCGCCAAGUCAAUGAACGUCUUCCGACACCUUAAACAGACAACAUACAUCAACAAAUACAGCGGCUAGUCAUCCCCGACCGAUGUCUCCAUAUGGCAAACGGCGUCGUGAUUUGUACAAAAUACAGCGGAAGGAAAAAACGAGCGAAAAAAUGUAUUUAUGAAGAUAAGACUGAAAACAAUAAAACUCGAAAAGUAAGUUUUUGUGUCCAGAAGCCGGCCAUAACUGUAGACUCCAGGGGACAGAACCAAUCGGGUUCGUCAAGAAAUUGGAACACCAAAGAGCCGUUCAUGCCAUCUCAUCUCCUCCAGCGCGCCACAUCCCACUCCAGAUGUGCCCACUACUCGGCGAUAAGGCAGCAGCGUCGAGUAUUGGAUUCGAAUAAUAAAAACGUAAACGACAAAAGCGAAACGCACGGCAAACAAACAAUACAAUAGAAACUGGUGUGAGAUAAAGACAGAGCCAGUAUGAAAGAAAACCCAACAACAACAAUAGUAAUAAU